rnacentral:rRNA from 1 species
UGCAUGCGCUGCUAUACAUGCAAGUCGAGCGGACAGAUGGGAGCUUGCUCCCUGAUGUUAGCGGCGGACGGGUGAGUAACACGUGGGUAACCUGCCUGUAAGACUGGGAUAACUCCGGGAAACCGGGGCUAAUACCGGAUACUUGUUUGAACCGCAUGGUUCAAACAUAAAAGGUGGCUUCGGCUACCACUUACAGAUGGACCCGCGGCGCAUUAGCUAGUUGGUGAGGUAAUGGCUCACCAAGGCAACGAUGCGUAGCCGACCUGAGAGGGUGAUCGGCCACACUGGGACUGAGACACGGCCCAGACUCCUACGGGAGGCAGCAGUAGGGAAUCUUCCGCAAUGGACGAAAGUCUGACGGAGCAACGCCGCGUGAGUGAUGAAGGUUUUCGGAUCGUAAAGCUCUGUUGUUAGGGAAGAACAAGUGCCGUUCAAAUAGGGCGGCACCUUGACGGUACCUAACCAGAAAGCCACGGCUAACUACGUGCCAGCAGCCGCGGUAAUACGUAGGUGGCAAGCGUUGUCCGGAAUUAUUGGGCGUAAAGGGCUCGCAGGCGGUUUCUUAAGUCUGAUGUGAAAGCCCCCGGCUCAACCGGGGAGGGUCAUUGGAAACUGGGGAACUUGAGUGCAGAAGAGGAGAGUGGAAUUCCACGUGUAGCGGUGAAAUGCGUAGAGAUGUGGAGGAACACCAGUGGCGAAGGCGACUCUCUGGUCUGUAACUGACGCUGAGGAGCGAAAGCGUGGGGAGCGAACAGGAUUAGAUACCCUGGUAGUCCACGCCGUAAACGAUGAGUGCUAAGUGUUAGGGGGUUUCCGCCCCUUAGUGCUGCAGCUAACGCAUUAAGCACUCCGCCUGGGGAGUACGGUCGCAAGACUGAAACUCAAAGGAAUUGACGGGGGCCCGCACAAGCGGUGGAGCAUGUGGUUUAAUUCGAAGCAACGCGAAGAACCUUACCAGUCUUGACAUCCUCUGACACCCCUAGAGAUAGGGCUUCCCCUUCGGGGGCAGAGUGACAGUGGUGCAUGGUGUCGUCAGCUCGUGUCGUGAGAUGUUGGGGUUAAGUCCCGCACGAGCGCAACCCUUGAUCUUAGUUGCCAGCAUCAGUGGGCACUCUAAGGUGACUGCCGUGACAACGGAGAGGUGGGAUGACGUCAAUCAUCAUGCCCUAUGACCUGGGCUAACACACGUUGCCUACAAUGGACGGAACCAG